CACGGCGCACGGGUGCGUAACACGUGGGCAAUCUGCCCUCCGAAGGGGAAUAACCCCGCGGAAGCGGGGCUAAUUCCGCAUAACAUUCCCUUCGGCAAAGCAGCGUCGGAGGAGGAGCCCGCGCCCGAUUAGCUAGUUGGUGAGGUAAUGGCUCACCAAGGCAAUGAUCGGUAGCUGGUCUGAGAGGAUGGCCAGCCACACUGGAACUGAGACACGGUCCAGACUCCUACGGGAGGCAGCAGUGGGGAAUCUUGCGCAAUGGGCGAAAGCCUGACGCAGCGACGCCGCGUGGGGGAUGAAGCUUCUCGGAGUGUAAACCCCUUUCGACUGGGACGAAUGACGGUACCAGUAGAAGAAGCCCCGGCUAACUACGUGCCAGCAGCCGCGGUAAGACGUAGGGGGCCAGCGUUGUUCGGAAUUACUGGGUGUAAAGGGUUCGUACGCGGUGUGGCCAGUCGGGAGUGAAAUCUCUGGGCUUAACCCAGAGGCUGCUUCCAAAAC
rnacentral:rRNA from 1 species